rnacentral:rRNA from 1 species
UGGGGAAUUUUGGACAAUGGGCGCAAGCCUGAUCCAGCCAUGUCGCGUGCAGGAUGAAGGCCUUCGGGUUGUAAACUGCUUUUGUACGGAACGAAAAGGUGCCUUCUAAUAAAGGGCGCUCGUGACGGUACCGUAAGAAUAAGCACCGGCUAACUACGUGCCAGCAGCCGCGGUAAUACGUAGGGUGCGAGCGUUAAUCGGAAUUACUGGGCGUAAAGCGUGCGCAGGCGGUUUUGUAAGACAGAGGUGAAAUCCCCGGGCUCAACCUGGGAACUGCCUUUGUGACUGCAAGGCUGGAGUGCGGCAGAGGGCGAUGGAAUUCCACGUGUAGCAGUGAAAUGCGUAGAGAUGUGGAGGAACACCGAUGGCGAAGGCAGCCCCCUGGGCCUGUACUGACGCUCAUGCACGAAAGCGUGGGGAGCAAACA